rnacentral:lncRNA from 1 species
AGAAAAAGUAACCCAUGUUUCCUUAGGAAGGUUUUCGGUUUAACACCAUAGUCCCCUAAAAGGUCGUCUAAUUCCUCUCCCUUUUUCUGCAGUGUAACCCUUUCCAUUUUUUCCUAUAUCUCUCCAUCUAUUCUCUCCCUCAAACAACUAUAACUAUUCAAAAUUUCAGUUCUAAAUCAUUGUAAACAAAACCUACAUUCUGUUGUUUCCUCCCCUUGACUCUCCCUCAAAACAGCCCCUGACCUCCCAUCUAUUUUCUGUCUCCAAUGUUCACUCAUACUUGUCAAUUUUUUUAAUUUUUAAAUUAAUUUACAUUCAGUUGUCCCUCUCUCUUUAUCGAAUCUGAUUUAUUCUUCUGGGUUACUUUUAGUCAUUC